GUUUAAACAUCGGUUCCCGUAUGAUCACCAAAGUUAAGCAACGUUGAUCCUGGUCUGAACUUCGAUCGUUGACCGCUUGGGAAUACGCGAUGCUGUAC